rnacentral:rRNA from 1 species
UACGUAGGGGGCAAGCGUUGUCCGGAAUCAUUGGGCGUGAAGCGCGUGUAGGCGGUCCGGUAAGUCCGCUGUGAAAGUCCAGGGCUCAACCCUGGGAUGCCGGUGGAUACUGUCGGGCUAGAGUACGGAAGAGGCGAGUGGAAUUCCUGGUGUAGCGGUGAAAUGCGCAGAUAUCAGGAAGAACACCCGUGGCGAAGGCGGUUCUCUGGGACGGUACUGACGCUGAGACGCGAAAGCGUGGGGAGCGAACAGG